AAAAUACUUGGCUCUGGGAGUCCUAAGGCCCUGCCAAUCGGCCUGGAACACUCCCCUACUGCCAGUAAAGAAACCUGGAGGAGACUAUCGUCCUGUGCAGGACUUAAGGGAAGUCAACAACAGAGUACAGGACAUUCACCCAACAGUACCUAAUCCAUAUAAUCUGCUUAGUACUCUAAAUCCUGAACGAAAAUGGUAUACUGUCUUGGACUUAAAAGAUGCCUUCUUUUGUUUGCCUUUACAUAAAGAUAGCCAGCUACUGUUUGCUUUUGAGUGGGUGGAUCCAGAAACAGGAACGUCUGGCCAACUAACCUGGAGUAGACUCCCACAAGGGUUCAAAAACUCCCCCACUCUCUUUGAUGAAGCCCUCCACAGGGACCUCAAUAACUUCAGGACUACACACCCAGGAGUCACCCUGCAUCAAUAUGUGGAUGACCUGCUGCUGGCAGCUGACACCAAGGAAAACUGUGAGUCUGGAACACGAGCACUAUUAUCCGAGCUUGCUCGGUUUGGAUAUAGAGCUUCUGCCAAAAAGGCUAAAAUCUGCCAGCAAGAAGUUAUUUUCCUGGGCUAUUCCCUUAGAGAUGGCAAAAGAUGGCUCACAGGGCCCAGAAAACAGACUGUUGUGCAGAUACCGCCCCCAUCUAAUAGAAGGCAACUUAGAGAGUUUCUCGGGACUGCUGGCUUUUGUAGAUUAUGGAUUCCUGGGUUUGCAUCCCUAGCUGCUCCUUUGUACCCACUGUUGAAGGCAGACACCCAAUUCCAAUGGACCCCCAAACAUCAGCAAGCUUUUGAUGACAUUAAAAAGGUGCUGCUAUCUGCUCCAGCUCUAGCACUUCCGGAUGUAGAAAAGCCCUUUACUCUUUACAUUGAGGAAAAGAAAGGAAUAGCCCGAGGAGUGCUCACUCAGACUUUAGGGCCCUGGAAGAGACCUGUAGCCUACCUGUCGAAAAGGCUAGAUCCAGUGGCUAGCGGGUGGCCCCAUUGCCUAAAAGCUAUAGCAGCAGCAGCCCUUCUAAUAAAAGAUGCUGAUAAAUUAAUGCUGGGACAGAAGCUAACCAUUAUAGCCCCUCAUGCCCUGCAGAACAUCAUUCAUCAGCCUCCAGACAGAUGGCUAUCAAACUCUAGAAUAACUCACUAUCAGAGCCUGUUGCUGGACAAAGACAGAAAAACACUGGGACCCCCAGCCCCACUUAACCCAGCCACACUCCUACCUGAAGAAUCAUCAGAGCCUGUCAUCCAUGACUGUCAACAUAUACUGGCAGAAGAGACCAGUAUACGACAGGAUCUAAAAGAUCAGCCACUGCCCCAUCCUGAAGUCGCGUGGUUUACCGACGGCAGCAGCUUCCUCCAGGACGGUAAGCGGCGAGCUGGGGCAGCAGUAGUUAGCAGGACAAAAGUCAUCUGGUCCUCUAGUCUCCCGGAAGGGACAUCUGCACAAAAGGCAGAGCUGAUGGCUCUUACGAAGGCAUUAGAACUAGCAGCAGGCAAAAAGGCCACCAUAUAUACUGAUAGCCGAUAUGCGUUUGCUACCGCCCAUAUACAUGGGGCUAUUUAUCAGCAAAGGGGGCUACUAACCUUGGCCAGAAAAGAAAUAAAAAACAAAGAUGAGAUUCUCCGCCUUCUCUCAGCAGUGCAAAACCCCAAAGAACUAGCUAUAGUGCACUGCCAAGGGCACCAAAAGGGAAAUGAUCCCGUGGCAGUCGGAAACAGAAGGGCAGAUGAGGAAGCUAAGUUGGCAGCUCUGACAGGAGUAACCAUGUUAACACUUUCCUCACCGGGGGAACAACAGUCAGGAGAUUCAACUGUGUCCGAGUACCCAGACAAUUUAACACCUGAGGACACUGAAACUGAACUCCUUGACUCCACCGGGCCUAGCCUGCAAUUUCAAAAAGCCCUACACUAUGGUAAAUAUGUGCAUCAACUCACCGUGGUUCAAAAAAACUACAGGCAUUCCUGAAGGAUCAAGAGCAGAAAUUUCCGCUGACCAGCACACAACGAAAAGAAAUAGCCGAACGGGUAAUAAAGGCCUGCCGGGUCUGUCAAUUGGUUAAUGCUUACCCCUCCAAGCUUCCUACAGGGAAACACCUACGAGGAACCAGACCAGGACAAUUAUGGGAAAUAGACUUUACUGAAAUUAAACCAGCAAGGUAUGGACUUAAGUAUCUUCUAGUUUUUGUAGAUACUUUUUCAGGGUGGGUUGAAGCCUUCCCCACGAAAAAAGAAACAGCUCAAAUGGUAAUCAAAAAGAUCCUGGAGGACAUCUUCCCGAGAUUCGGCCUGCCUAAGGUAAUAGGGUCCGAUAAUGGACCGGCGUUCAUGGCCCAGGUAAGUCAGGGAUUGGCCAGGACCCUGGGGAUUAAUUGGAAAUUACAUUGUGCUUAUAGACCCCAGAGCUCAGGACAGGUAGAAAGGAUGAAUAGAACUAUUAAAGAGACCUUAACAAAAUUAAGCUUGGAGACCGGUAUAAAAGAUUGGACUAUGCUCCUACCUUAUGCACUGUUUCGUGCAAGAAAUACCCCCUCCGCCUCUUUGUGUAACCUCACCCCCUAUGAAAUUCUCUAUGGUGCCCCUCCUCCAAUAAGAGACCUAACCCCAACCCUGAGACUUAACGAUUCCUUUCACACCCCGUUGCUUGACAGACUUAAGGCUCUUGAACAAACCCAGCGAUUCCUGUGGAAGCAGCUGGCUACUGCCUAUCAGCCCGGAGACGAAGGAACCCCACAUCAAUAUCAAGUGGGAGACUUCGUCUACGUGAGACGACAUCAGGUGUCAUCCCUAGAACCCCCCUGGAAAGGACCAUACCAGGUGCUACUCAUAACACCUAUGGCGGUGAAAGUGGAUGGAGUUGCUUCUUGGAUCCAUGCCUCCCAUCUCAAGCCUGCACCCUCCCCCGACUCCAGCUGGAAACUGGAAAAGGCUGGUAACCCUUUCAAAUUGCGUAUUCACCGUAUGGAUAGGGCUAUGGAUUCUCCCAUGUCCACCAGCAGUCCUAAUCCCCAUCAGCCUGUUCAGCAACAGUGGCAAGUUAUAAAUCCCACUGGACAAGUAGUUUGGUCCAUUUCAUAUACAGCCCCCUUAUGGACUUGGUGGCCAUCUCUUCAUCUGGACAUUUGUCAACUGGCCAUAGGCCUCUCUGACUGGGACCUCCCUGACAUAGAGGACCCCAAACUAGGGCAGCAUUCCCCAAGCGGACAUACGUACUAUGGAUGUCAUCGCCCUCAUCAUAGGUGUAGACUAGCCAGUCUUGAUUAUUAUGUGUGCCCAGCUGAUUUCCAAAGUCACAAACAGGCCCAAACCUGUGGAGGGCCCAAUGACUUUUAUUGCAAAUCUCGGGAUUGUGAACAAACGGGAGCUGCAUGGUGGAAACCAAACUCCCCAGACAGCAUGAUUCAAGUAGGGUGAAACGACACCUGGAUAAACCCUAGGAACUGUUUAGUUAGCCAAGUGUCAAGGACUUUCUGUGGAAAAAGUAGUCUAUGUAACCCCCUCAAUAUAACUUUCACUUCCAAAGCAAGGGGCUACCUCAGAAUGACAUGGCUUACGGGAAAUACCUGGGGAAUGUGAUUCUAUGUUUAUGGCCCCACUUAUGACUUUGGUCUCUGGUUAACCAUCCGACUUAAGCAGGAAGAAAAUCCCACCACAAUAGGGCCCAAUCCCCUCAAGCCAGGAAUUAAGCCUCCUAAACCUCCCAUGCCUAGAACUACCAGAUCUCCUCUGCCAUCUCAUUCCUCCCGGUUUCCGUCUUUGCCUACUUCCCCAGUCAGGAGUAUAGCUGACUCCUCCCCCUGGGAAUUGAUUAAAGGAACCUUCAUGGUACUGAACUCCACACAGCCAGAUCUCACCCAAUCCUGCUGGCUAUGCCUCUCUGCCGCGCCCCCUUAUUAUGAAGGGAUAGCAGUUAAUGGGACUUAUGCUGUGAAGACGCAGAAUUCCACCUGUAGUUGGGGUGAAAAUCCUAAGUUAACUCUCCCAGAAGUAACCGGGGCAGGUUUAUGUCUAGGGUCCCCACCCAAAAGUAAACAACAUAUAUGUUCCCAGAUAGGAGAAAUCAAUGCUACGCAGGGCUUUCUAGUCCCUGAGAAAGGAACUUGGUGGGCAUGUGAUUCAGGAUUAAGUCCUUGCAUUUCAGCCCAGGUGUUUGACAGCUCUGUAAACUAUUGUGUAAUGGUGCAAAUACUCCCCAGGAUACUUUAUCAUGAUGCAGAAUCCUUUGAAGGUCUAGUAGGGGGACA
rnacentral:lncRNA from 1 species